rnacentral:lncRNA from 13 species
AUGGCCUCCAAAUGCCGGGAUUCCUGGAGGACCGACCAAGAUAAAGAAAGCUCAGGCAGAGUCCUGGAGAACAAACAGGGGAUGACAGCCUCAGGCCUGCCAGGACCCUGUGCAGGAGGUGGACAUAUACACUGUCAAGGUGGAAGGCCAGACCUUCAUGUCCCGCUUCUGCCUGCAAGUGAAGCGCACAAUGACUACGUGCAUGCCCUGGUGGCCUUCUUCAACAUCUAGUCAUAGGACAAAUAGUAGGUGAGCUUUCCUGGUGGGUCACAUCCUCUGCCAGAGAUUUCAAUAGAAUGAUCCCAUUCAGCCCCCACUGCAACUUCAUGGGGCUCUGUUAUUAUCUUUGCCUUGUUGGGUUAGAAAGUCUCCAUCAUGCAGAGUGUUAAAAUCAGAAUUUGCACACAAGCCACAGCCCUGAAUCAUUCACAUCCCAGGACCCUCUUCCCCUUCUCUGACUCUGUGCCCUCACUCUUCACUCUCUCUGGGUCUCUGUCUAACCCCUGUUGAGUGUCCUGAUCCUCCUUGGGCUCUGUCUUUCCUCCUCCCUCUAGGACUUUGUCCCAGCUCAUUCCUGUGCCCCUGUCUCUGGGUCUCUGUCUCCUUCUCUGGGUGUCUAUCGCCUUCUGCUCUCUGGUUCCUUGCCAUCCCAUCUCUGAUCUCACUGUGUUGAUAUAAGAUGCUGUUGUGGAGGGGGAGAUCUCUCCCCUCCUCACAGGGCUCUGCCGCUUUUCCCUUCCAGGGGAGCAUCCUAGCUAUUUCACCCAUGGACUUGAACUUGCCCUUGGAGUGAGAUCUUUCUCAGAAGCUGCUACAUGUCUGAACCUCAUGUUCUGAUCUUUCAAGCUGCUACAAGUCUGAUCUUUCUCAGCAGCUGCUACAAGUCCUUCCCUCUUCGUGUGCUUUUCCAAGUCUUCCUAUUCCACUUAGGGAUGUGGGGUGAUAGUUGCCCUUCCUGUUUUUGUCAAAAAAAAUUGUUUAAAAAUUAUUUUAUUAAAAACUUUACAAAGUAUUCAAUUGACUGUUCUUUCACUUGAGAACUAAAGUUUUAAGUAGAGAAGAUUUGAUUCAGAGAUCUCUGCAGUUUACAAAUUUAGGAAGGAUAUAUAUGUGGAGCGCCUGCAAGAGCCUGUUACCCGGCCAUGUAACAUAUUUGAGGACAUCUGUAAAUGUGAUUCCAGCAACUUGGAUUUUUUCUCCGAUUCUGCAAUUGGGUUAUUUUAGCUGAUCAUGUGUUGAUGGUCAUGGAGUUUUUCCAGUGAGUUCCAGAAAAAGGUACAGUCAACUUUACCUGCGUCUAGGACACCACCCUCUUCUUGUUUUUCUCCUCCUAUUGCUCCUUUGAAGUCUUUUUGCUGGUUUCUCAUCUACCUAUAGAUAAUGAUUUGUCACACAUUCACCCUGUAUUUUUUAUUUUUAUUUUUUGAGACAGUGGCUGGCUCUGUUGUCUAGGCUGAAAUACAGUGGUGACACCAUGACUCACUACAGCCUCGAAUUCCUGGGCUUAAGUAAUCCUCCAACAUCAGCCUCUCUAGUAGCUAGGAAUAAAGGCAUGCACCACUACA